AUUGAACGCUGGCGGCAGGCCUAACACAUGCAAGUCGAGCGAGCGGCGGACGGGUGAGUAAUGCCUGGGAGUCGCACAGGCGAGGGGGAUAACAGUUGGGAACGACUGCUAAUACCGCCUACGAUUGGAAUGCCUAGGUGGGAUUAGCUAGUUGGGGAGGUAAUGGCUUACCAAGGCGACGAUCCCUAGCUGGUCUGAGAGGAUGAUCAGCCACACUGGAACUGAGACACGGUCCAGACUCCUACGGGAGGCAGCAGUGGGGAAUAUUGCACAAUGGGGGAAACCCUGAUGCAGCCAUGCCGCGUGUAUGAAGAAGGCCUUCGGGUUGUAAAGCACUUUCAGCGAGGAGGCGUUACUCGCAGAAGAAGCACCGGCUAACUCCGUGCCAGCAGCCGCGGUAAUAC
rnacentral:rRNA from 1 species